UUGAGGGUUCCAAUAGGCUAGCAGCGAUUUCGUGUAAUGCAAGCACGAGUUCAUUUCUUCCUCCAUAUUCUAGAGAGGCCUUUAGCCAACAGAUUUUGGGAUUUGAUGAUACACCAUAAAGCCAUGGACGUGAAACCUAGAUAGAUCUGUUUUGUCACUUCCCUUCAGGCUGUAGUAAUGCUGUGCGCAUGCGUAGUCUCAUGCAUGCGUGGAAUUCAACAUCCAAGCUUUCCCGCUUUAUUCUGUCUUUUUCUCGACUGGCCAGCGAUUGAGCAAGGACGUGUCUAGCUGUCUCUCUCCAUCUUUCGAACUCACGCUAGACAGCUCACAUCAACAUACCAACGUCUCAACAACCAUGUUCUCACACACAGAAGGUGUCUCAACAACCAAGAGUAAAGCUGUAUAUUUUCCACCUUAAAUAAAUAUUGUUGAGUUGAUA